rnacentral:rRNA from 1 species
UACGUAGGGGGCAAGCGUUGUCCGGAAUCAUUGGGCGUAAAGCGCGCGUAGGCGGUCCGGUAAGUCCGCUGUAAAAGUCAAGGGCUCAACCCUUGAAUGCCGGUGGAAACUGUCGGACUAGAGUCCGGAAGAGGCGAGUGGAAUUCCUGGUGUAGCGGUGAAAUGCGCAGAUAUCAGGAGGAACACCGACGGCGAAGGCAGCUCGCUGGGACGGUACUGACGCUGAGGAGCGAAAGCCA